AUGGCAGACUUCUCCUCAGCCCACCACCACUCUCUCCUCAAGAUGCCUGAGGUCUUCACCACCAAUGACACCUCCACCCCGAACAUCUCGAGCUUCUUGCUUUACAACCAAACCAGCCAUGGCCAGUCUCCAGCACCAGCAAAUGCAUGUGCGGCCAUGGUGGAGGACGCCUCGCGCGAGAGCUCCUCUGCAGUUCUCGACAAUGCCUCUCUACAGGCCAGUGCAUCUGUGGACAGGAAGAGGAAAGCCACAGAUGACAGCACCACACUUAGCUCUGCUCACUCCAAGGACUGCAAGGAUGGCAAGAGUAGGAGGAAGAGGGAGAAGAGCAGCACCGAGCAGGACCAGGAGGAGGCGCCCAAGGGAUACAUCCAUGUGAGGGCAAGGAGAGGGCAGGCAACAGAUAGCCACAGCCUUGCAGAGAGGGUGAGGAGGGAGAGGAUCAGUGAGAGGAUGAGGUUGCUGCAAACACUGGUCCCUGGCUGUGACAAGGUCACUGGAAAGGCACUCGUUUUGGAUGAGAUCAUCAAUUAUGUGCAGUCCCUGCAGAAUCAAGUCGAGUUCCUGUCCAUGAGGAUUGCUUCCAUGAGCCCAGUGUUGUAUGGAUUUGGACUGGACAGUGACGGCCUCCAUGACCAGGCACAAAAGAUUGGAGGCAUGUUCCAGCAGGAAGCCCUUGCAGUGCCUGCCCCAGCUCUGAACCAAGCUAGCCCAGCUGCAUCUCAAGCCAUGAUGGACACCACAUCCUACUCACUGCAAGGCCAGGGGGGCAUCUCUUUCUCUCAGUCCCAGUCUCAGGUUGGCAUGCAUGCCCUUCAAUUCCUCUCACUUGCUAGACCAUAUGUGCAAGCAAAGCCCCAAAUUAGUAAUGCAUGGCGUCCGUUUUACCCCAACUUCUGUGCAUCCUUUUUUCAGGACAGUGGCAGUUACCUGAUGCAAUCAGUGGGAGAGCAAAGACAGGAACUGCUCAAUCAAUUGGUGUUCAGCAACAUGUGCUCCUUCCAGUAG
rnacentral:rRNA from 1 species